UACAGAGGUCUCAAGCGUUGUUCGGAUUCAUUGGGCGUAAAGGGUGUGUAGGUGGCGCCGUAAGUCGGGUGUGAAAUUUCGGAGCUUAACUCCGAAACUGCAUUCGAUACUGCGGUGCUUGUGGACUGGAGAGGAGACUGGAAUUCAUGGUGUAGCAGUGAAAUGCGUAGAGAUCAUGAGGAAGACCAGUGGCGAAGGCGGGUCUCUGGACAGUUCCUGACACUGAGACACGAAGGCCAGGGGAGCAAACGGG
rnacentral:rRNA from 1 species